UUUCUAAAGAUUUCCAACAUAUUUUGCAGCUAGUACUCAUAGAUCUCUCAUGAAUUGUUGAGAGAUUUGAUACUGAUAGAUAGAUGUUGAAUCCUAUUUAGGUACUUUUAGUAUUAGAACCAAUUUAUUUUUAUUUUUGUGUGUAAUUAUAAUUAGGUCGGCACUACUCAACUUUCUAAAUUUUCUCAGUUUAUCUGAGGCACGACGAGUCUACAACACUACUUCGAUCCUUUACUAGUACCAAAGGGAAUUACAGAAAGAGGGUAAAAUGGAGAAACCACUUUUUGGCGCUUAUUUAUUUUUAGAUUUUUGGCUCUAAAAGAAUUUCAGGAAAACCACCAUAUAUAUGAGAAAAUAAAUGAAGGAGUUUCGUUGCAGAGUGAAGCCAAAAUUUUUGAAACUAAACAAGAAGACCAGAAUUUUGCAAAUCAAUGGCACUGGGAGGAAGUGUCUUUGGGCAAACUACACUUACUGGGGGAACUAUUCAAGAAACUCAAUCACCGAAUGAAUCAAAUAACCCCACUCCCUUUGUUAAUACAGACUCAGGAAAGGUCGUGGCAAGACUAGAGGGAAAGGUCUUGAAAAGAUGAAGAAGGCUAUGGGAAGCAAGAUAAAAAUAGAGAUCCCAAUUGGUAAAGGAAGGCCAACUAAGCCAAUUCAAUCAGACAAACUAUCCAAUGAAUUAGGAAUAAUUGUUCGAAAUUUUCUUCCACUUCCAAACAAGUGGAAGGAACUUACAAGAGAGAUGCAACACUAAUUAGAUGCCACAAACGAUGCGAAAUAAACAAGGGCAAUCGAACAAAGAUUAAAUCUAAUCAUUUCAUGGGAUCAAAAGUGUUUGUAGCAGCUCGUGCUGAAAUUGGUGAAAAGGAAUUUGAAGGUGUGGAGCCUGACAGAAUUGAGUUCUACAAGCAUACCCAUUACACGAGUAAAAAAGGAUGGUCAUCUGAAGAAGCUGAGACUAACUAUGUAAAAAAUUAAUAUAUUAGUAACAUACCAUUGCAUUUAUUUGGUUAAUAUUCUUCA